UUUGGGGAAAUCUGGGCCCAACCCAGCCAGGUCGAUUCCCUUCACGAAAAAGUAAGAAGUACGCACCAUAGACCGUAGUUGAUGACUCCGUCGUCGGCGAGAGAAGAUCGUCCAUGGCUGGCUUCGAACGGAAGUACUCAUGCCAGACUGCAAGAGAAACCCUAGAAUGGAUUCAUGCCAUCAUCGACUUCCUCAGACCUUAUAUCUUCUUCUUACAAGCACAUGUCGUCAAUUUCUUUAAGGAUAGACUGUGGGAAGCAGUUGAUACGGAAUGGAUCGAUUGUCUACGCAAUGAACCCGUCGAAAAUCUACUAAAAAUUCCUUCCGGAGUGGUCCAGGAUUACUGGCCUGCUUCACUUAAGGAAUUUGUUCUUAAGUUAAGCUCUCUUGCACUUCCUCGGGAACAGGCAGAUCUACAAAGGGUACUACCAGAACUGUGCAUGACUUCAAUUAACAAUGUUCUUGCCCAAGGCAUGAAUUGGAAGAAAAAACAUGAAGUAGAAGCUCUUGCUGCUGUUAUUGAUUCAAUUGCAAGGAGUGUUGGAGCUCAUACUAUAGUUGAUGUUGGUGCUGGUCAGGGAUAUCUUGCACAAGUACUUUCCUUUGAGUACCAGCUUCCGGUAAUUGCAAUAGAUGCAAGUUCUCAUCAUGGAAGGAUUACAAGCACACGUGCAGAGCGAAUCAGGAAACACUAUGCGGCUAAGAUGCGUAAAUCUGGAUCGGAAGACACAAACUUGAACAUGCCUAAGACAAUCACUUGCCGUGUUUUGUCCACCGCCACAUUGAAAUCUUUGAGUAAAUCCUUGUUAGAAAAGGAUGAUGUUGAGCAGCCCACUAUGAUUAUACAAGAAAUAGCUGGACUUCCUCAAGAUAGGCUCUGUGAGAGAAAAUUUUCGUGCUGCGCAGAUGGCGAUUCUCCAUUAGUUCUUGCUGGACUUCAUGCUUGUGGUGAUCUUUCAGUAACAAUGCUCAGGACAUUUUUGGAGUGCAAAGAAGUUCAAGCAGUGGUUAGCAUCGGUUGUUGUUAUAACAUGCUAUCUGAGGAAGGAGUUGAACAUUGUGAUUCUCAUUGUGGUUUUCCAAUGAGUAAAGGUGUCAAAUCUUCUGGUCUAUCACUUGGAAGAAAUUCGCGUGAUCUUGCUUGUCAGAGUGCAGAAAGAUGGAAAGGUUUGGGAAAAGAUGCUGGUCUUCAUAAUUUUGAGCUGCAUGCUUUUCGUGCUGCAUUCCAGAUGGUUCUUUUUCGAUAUUAUCCAGAAAUUUUGGUAACAAGCCCUGCAAUAGGACGCCAAGGGAAGGCUUUGCGUCGCCAACAAUAUAGGAGGAUCCUGGAGUCUAAUCUUCAAGACAAGGAUAAAAAAAAAUCCCCCUUAUUCUUAUCUCAGGAAAACUGUACGAAGAAAGAAAGAUGGCCUACCAUGAAUUCCACUGGAACAGGGUCUGUGAAUAAUAAAGGGACAUAUGAAAUAGUCCUCUCAGAUACUUGCAAUUCUACUCUGGAAUCAUGUGGUGCUAAUUAUCCAAACCCAACCUUCAAUGUAGAUGUUUUGUUUUGUGGGGUUCCUUCUAAUCAGAGUUCUGAAUUGGAUUGUGAAGAGAUUAAACCUGUUGAUAAAUAUUCGCUUUUUGAGAAAUUCAGCUAUUCUGGACUUAGCCGCCUUGGUCUCCAAAAUUCUCCAGAUAUUGAUCUUGCUGGAUCAUGGAAGGAAUGUGAACCUUUUUCUGAACUUAUAGGGCCUUAUUGGUCUCUUCGGGCUGCUUUGGGGCCUGUUUUGGAAACUAUUAUUCUGCUUGAUAGACUAUUGUUCCUACAAGAGCAAGGCAAUUCAGUUGAAGCGGUCAUGUUACCCAUUUUUGAUCCUGCAUUAUCCCCUAGGAAUGUGGCCUUAAUUGCUAUGAAGAAAUCUUUAUAAGUCAACGAUCUUUAUUUUUAACCAACACUGCGAAUCAGACAGGGCCUUGUAGAUCCAUUAGCAAUUCAAUUGAAUUGUCUAAAUAGUGACAGUUUUGAUUCAGGUGUUUUGGAAGGCGAGGCUAAUCAAGUGCCAUGAUUGGUAAUUCUUGGAGUUGCAUCACUUGGGAUUUAUGAUGACAAACCAUUGCCUUGCACUCAGACCUUCCUCCUAUUGGCAACAGUAAGUCUUCUAAAUAUUUUUUCGAGUCUAUCCUAAUCAACCAUACACAUGAAUGGUGUUUCGUUUCGUUCUUACCUACCAAUUAUGAAUGUGAAUUAUCUAAUUGUGUCCUUGUUAUUGGCGUGUGACAACCUCAUAUUUCAGAGCUUCUCUAUACUCCUAGUCCUAUUCGUCCUCGUCAUGGAUCUGAUCCAUAUUCAUUGGAUUUUUUUUUUUAUUGUUAUUAUUAUUUUGUUGCUCACGUGCUAAUAGUAAUUCUUUAAUCACCAUUAUCGUUUACUUGGGAAUGUCAACAUUUCCCAAAAGAAUAUAAGCCAGUAUGCUUCCAAAGAGCAUGCCAAUUGCUUGGAGACAUACAAUUUGCUUUGGCCUUUUCCUUGUUUCGGAACACCUCGGUUUUGUCUCUUUCUAUAUGGGUCAUCCAUUUAUAUGUAGUUGAUACUAUUGAAGCAUAUUAUGUGGCUUCAAUUUAUUAGACUGUUAAAGAUCAUUCCGCAGUAUCUAUAUUGCAUCUAUGUUUUUGAACAGGGUUGGCCUUCGUUUCCGUGGUGGUGCCAAAACUAAACCUUCUAUGGAUGUUGUGUGUGUGUAUAUAUUUACAUAUGUACAGGCAAAUCCAUUGCCUGAACUUCGAUAAGUUCAAUAGGGAAACUCCGAUAAUUGGAUGAUUUUAGAGCCCCGGUUAUGGUUUUCACUAGAUAUGACUAGCUGGAUUAUAGAUUAUGUAUUUAGUUCUUUAUAUAUUUAUAUACAUUGAGAGACUUUUUGGAGUUUUUGGGAACUACCAUAGGUAAACAUUAAGAUAUGUUUUGUAUUGCUUGAGGUCACUUUGCAAAGAGAAUCCUCUCUUAGGUCUGGUUUUUAUGUAUUUCCACUUGUGCCAUCCUGGCUGCCCCUACAAAAGUCUUCUCGGGAGUGUGUUUUUGUAAAAUGCUAGUAUAACAAAGACAGUUUUGUCUUUGUUCGUUUUGUCACCUACCCAUCUUGACCCAUUCCUUGAACUGUUGUAGUCUUGCCUAAAAUUCUGGGACUUGAAGAAAUGAGAAACAGUACUUGUUCAAAAGAGUUACUAUUAGAAUAUCAACAAAAUUGCAAUUUGACUUGAUAAAGAUUUCUUCAGUGGAUUGUACUUUAUAAGGAAUAUUCCCAGUCACCUGAGGACAGAACAGGAGAGGUUAGAAGCUGUGUGAUAAGGGCAUGAAGUGGAUUGGAUUGACUGAAUUUCAUUUUGAAGAUUGAUUUGGUUUACUCGGUAAUCAGAGUUUUAUUUAAUGAUUUAUUGAAAUUAUCCACGAAUCAUAUGGAUUGGAAAUAUAUGGGGUAACUAGGAUUUGACCAUGAUUUGGAUUUGGAUAGGAAUCUGAAUUCACACUUACUAUUACUGUUUUUGCAUCAAUUGAAAGUUUCAUGAUUGAAAGAUAUUGGACGCUUUGGACUCUUGUUAUUUCUUGGUAUUUUAAACUGUGGCCGACAUGAAUUUCAAAAAAGCUUACUGGUUUAGAGCAAAAUAACAUGAACAUUGCUAUCACUGAAAAUAGAAUUGCCUCUGAAUAUUCAACGUAUUGGAAGCAAAAAUCCAAAGGACCUCUCUACGAAGAGAUAGGUAAUGUUACUGUUGGUACAGUUACUUGUACAGACACUUCUUUUUCGAUAGUGUCUUUAAGUACUUAUCAAGUUUGCCACCACGACUUUUAACAAAAAAAAAAAAAAAAAAAAAAAAAAAAAAAAAAAAGUUUGCCACCACGACGUGGAGUUCUAAGCAGGGUUAUGUAUGACUUUGCUUUGGGUGGAAAAAAAAUAUAAGUCCCGUUAUAAAAAUCGGAUCAACGUGGAAAUGAAAGAGACUCAAUCUUGUUGAUUACUCUCUAAGUGCCUGACAUCAGAAAAAAAAAUUCAGGUAUCGGAGCAUUACUCAUUUGGGUGAGUCGGAGUAUUUAAAAUCCGCACCCUAUCAUUACAUCAAGAUGGGUUGUAUAUAGCUUCUGCUAUGAUUGAUACUACUGCACCUUUAAAUCCAUUUAUUUUUACUCGUGGAGAGCUGUCUGAUUUCUUUCUUGAGACGUAAAAGAAGAGAAAUGAAUCAAAUAUUAUCCCAACAAGGGGGUAUUGUAUCUGAAGAUUAAUAGCUAAAUUUGGAUAUUAUUAAUCAUUUUAGUUGCAAUUAUUGAUACUAAUAAGUCAAUAUGAUAAUUGGAAGAUAAUGGAUUGAACCCACCCUUGCCUGGAUUUCAUGGGCCUCAACUCUCAUUGAACAAUCCCGGAUUAAUUUUCGGGAUUUUAAACUUACUAGCACGCAACUUGGUCUAGGUAUUUACAUUCCUUACAACGGGAGAUUUUGCAUUUUUUGCAAUUGAUUUUUUUUUUUUUU